rnacentral:rRNA from 1 species
AGCAGCCGCGGUAAUUCCAGCUCCAAUAGCGUAUAUUUAAGUUGUUGCAGUUAAAAAGCUCGUAGUUGGAUUUCGGGUGGGUACCGCCGGUCUCCCUUUGGGUAUGUACUGGCGUGGCCCGCCUUGCUGUCGGGGACAAUCUCCUGGGCUUUACUGUCCGGGAAUUGGAGUCGACGAUGUUACUUUGAGUAAAUUAGAGUGUUCAAAGCAAGCCUACGCUCUGAAUAUAAUAGCAUGGGAUAACACGACAGGACUCUGGCCUAUCGUGUUGGUCUGUAGGACCGGAGUAAUGAUUAAGAGGGACAGUCGGGGGCAUUCGUAUUCCAUUGUCAGAGGUGAAAUUCUUGGAUUUAUGGAAGACGAACAUCUGCGAAAGCAUUUGUCAAGGAUGUUUUCAUUGAUCAAGAACGAAAGUUGGGGGCUCGAAGACGAUUAGAUACCGUCGUAGUCUCAACCAUAAACGAUGCCGACUAGGGAUUGGCGGAUGUUUGUUUGAUGACUCCGCCAGCACCUUAUGAGAAAUCAAAGUUUUUGGGUUCCGGGGGGAGUAUGGUCGCAAGGCUGAAACUUAAAGGAAUUGACGGAAGGGCACCACCAGGCGUGGAGCCUGCGGCUUAAUUUGACUCAACACG